rnacentral:rRNA from 1 species
CUCGUAGCUUGCUAUGAGAACAAUUAGUGGCAGACGGGUGAGUAAUGCAUAGGAAUCUACCUAGUAGUAUAGGAUAGCCACUAGAAGUGGUGGGUAAUACUGUAUAAUCCCUGCGGGGGAAAGAUUUAUCGCUACAUGAUGAGCCUAUGUUAGAUUAGCUAGUUGGUGGGGUAAUGGCCUACCAAGGCAGUGAUCUAUAGCUGGUCUGAGAGGAUGAUCAGCCACACUGGAACUGAGACACGGUCCAGACUCCUACGGGAGGCAGCAGUGGGGAAUAUUGGACAAUGGGCGCAAGCCUGAUCCAGCUAUGCCGCGUGAGUGAGGAAGGCCUUAGGGUUGUAAAACUCUUUCAGUGGGGAAGAUAAAGACGGUACCCACAGAAGAAGUCCCGGCAAACUCCGUGCCAGCAGCCGCGGUAAUACGGAGGGGGCAGGCGUUGUUCGGAAUUAUUGGGCGUAAAGGGCAUGUUGGUGGUUUGGUAAGUUAAAGGUGAAAUGCCAGGGCUUAACCCUGGAGCUGCUUUUAAUACUGCCAGACUGGAGUCCGGGAGA